UGGAGGUAGGGACAAUAAAUCACAAUGCGGGACUUUCAGUCUUGCAAUUGGAUUGAGAACAAUGUACAACUCUUAUCGAUAAGCCAUUGGAGGGCAAGUCUGGUGCCAGCAGCCGCGGUAAUUCCAGCUCCAAUAGCGUAUAUUAACGUUGUUGCAGUUAAAAAGCUCGUAGUUGAAGUGUGGGUGGUGCCUACUUCAUGACUUCGGUUGUGUGGUGGAUCACCACCCCCUUCCAGUAUCCAGUAGUGGGUAUUCAGUUACUUGCUACUGUGUGUUGGUCGUUUACUGUGAGAAAAUUAGAGUGUUCAAAGCAGGCGUUUGCUUGAAUAGAUUAGCAUGGAAUAAUAAUUGAAGGCUUUCGUGUUCGAUUUGAUUGGUUUGUUCAUGGAAGCAAGGUUAAAAGGAACAGUUGGGGGUAUUCAUAUUCACUAGUUAGAGGUGAAAUUCUCGGAUUUAUGGAAGAUGAACAAGG
rnacentral:rRNA from 1 species